rnacentral:hammerhead_ribozyme from 1 species
AUCCGGCUGACGAUUCCCAAAUAGGACGAAGCGCGCGUCCUGGAU